rnacentral:ncRNA from 1 species
AUAAAGUUUUAUUUUGGCUUUAUAAUUGAUUAUUAAUUUAUUUUAUAUGUAAAUUUUUGUGAGGUUAAUUAUUUAUCUUAAAGAUUAUAUUAAUAUAUUUAAUCGCAGUAAUUAAUAUUAUUUAUUAAAGAAAUUUAGAAAUAGAAAUAUUAAAUAUUAAUGACUAAAUUUGUGCCAGCAGUCUCGGUUAUACAAAUAUUAUAAAUUAAUUUGAUUAGUAAAAGUUAAAUUAAAUUAAAUUUUAUAAAAAUUAAUUUUAUUAAGUGAAAUUUUAAUAUUAAUUAUAAUAAUUUUUAGGAUUAAUUAAAGCUUGAAAAUUUUAAAUAUAGACUAGGAUUAGAUACCCUAUUAUUUAAAAUAUAUUCAAAAUUACUAGAGUAGUAAUAGUUAUGUUCUUGAAACUUAAAAAAUUUGGCGGUAUUUUAGUCUAUUCAGAGGAACCUGUGUUGUAAUCGAUAAUCCACGAUGAACCUAACUUAAUUUUGUAAUCAGUUUGUAUAUCGCUGUUAUUUGAAUAUUUUAUAAGAAUAAAAAAUUUUCAAUAAUUUAAAUAAAAAUUAAUAUCAAGUCAAGGUGCAGCUUAUAAUUAAGUAAUGAUGGGUUACAAUAAAUUAUAUUUAUAUGAAUAUUUUGUUGAAAUACAUAAUUGAAACUGGAUUUGAAAGUAAAAUUUUAUAGAUAAAAAGUUUGAUUUUAGCUCUAAAAUAUGUACACAUCGCCCGUCACUCUUAUUAUUAAGAUAAGAUAAGUCGUAACAUAGUAGAUGUACCGGAAGGUGUUUCUAGAAUGA